CUGGCGCUGCUGCAGGAGCGGGGGGCGGCGCCCCUGGGCGCGGAGGCGGCCGUGGCGCGCCCGCCCGCCGCCAGGUGCCUGUUCGGGGCGCCCGCCCCCGGGGAGGCGGCGCGCUUCGCCGAGGAGCUGCUGCGAGCCGACAGGGAGCGCUUCGGCCGCGACGUGCUGGCUGCGUGGCCGCCGGGCCAGGAGCACCCGGAGCGCACCCCGCCGCGGCGACUGCGGCGCGGGCCGUACGCGCGCCAGCUGCUCGUCACAGACGUGUGGCGGGCGAGGCGGCGGCCGGCGCCGCUGCAGGGCCUCAAGACCCCCGGCCUCCGCCCCUGCGACGAGGACGCCGCGGCGCCGCCCCCUGCCCCCGCGAGCAGCUAGGCCCGGCGGGGGCGGAGCUCCGUCCUCACCAGCCGCCGCCGGCAGCCCGGAGCAUCCAGCAGCUUGUCAAGACAACCACGGUUACAGCAAUGCCACUUCUUUAUGCCUCAUGACUAACACUGCCAGGACUCUAAAAAAACAUAUUACAGUCUGUUUGUGCUCUGUGAAAUUUAUUAUUAUUGAAGUGAAGAAAACGGGGAGAGAAUUAGGGACUAUUAACAAUUUUGGUCACCGAAAGUACUGUAUAUAUGUAUAUAUAUGUAUAUGUAUAUGUGUGUAUAUAUAUAUAUGUAUAUGUAUAUGUGUAUAUAUAUAUAUAUAUAUAUAUAUAUAUACACACACACACACGCAUAUAUAUUUUUUACUACCCGUAUGUUUUUGUGAGCCUGAGGCUGAUAUCCGUGGCUUGUACCAGUUACUGACGACUUGACUCGCUGCAGUGCCUCUGAGCCAGGAUGUCCAGAGCGAGCUGAAAGGACUUUCAGAGGAGACUCCUCCCGCCCUGCAGCCUCGAGUCCUCGCCCUUCGACCUGCGACCGCUCCUUGGUCCUUGGACUGCAGUUCGCCAGCGACCAACAUCCGUGGCGUCAGCCCUACAAGUGCUCUGCAACUCAUUAAGUAAUAUUAUCAGAAAAAAAUAUAUCUCUUGAGUGUCCAGGGAGGGACCCUACCAUUUCGCGUAUCAAGCCUCUUUCACUAAUUAAGUCAAGAAUUGUGUAAAGAUUAACUGCAAUUAUUUAUGUAUAAGUUGCCAAAUUGUUUGUCCAAUCGUACUAGAGAAAGGGACGUGAAACACCCAACAGUGAAGCUUGCCGUGGAAAUGUGACGUGAAAUGGCAGUCUGUCAAUGUAUUUCGUGUAUUACGAUUGUUUUAACUUUGACAAUUCACCAUAUGCAAUAAACUUAUUUAUAAGCAUGUAUUCCACUAUUCAUAAGGAAAGCGUAACGUCCACUUAGGAAUAAUUUAUUAGCCUUGCACUUGUAUAGUCUACAUGUGUAUACUGUAUUUAUGUGGUUAUCUGCACGAGUGGUGCUGAAGGAGACUUUAAUUGCCGAAAUGGCAUGAAUAUCGUAUUGCCAACGUCGUAGCCAGGUGUUUUAUCUUCCCCAGCCUCUUUUCCCCAUUAUACAUUUUUCUGGGGGGGGGGGGGGGGGGGAAACAGUAGAAAAACAUUUACCUGGGUAUAGAAUCAGGGGGUUGAACAAAUAAUUUUAUACAUCUGUAAUAGUUUUUUAAUUACACUUUAUGAUCUUUACUUUACACCAUGAACUGUAAAUAAUUUAUUGAAAACUAAUACUUUUUUUGUGUAAUUAGUAAAAAUUUUAAUAUAUACCACACCUUUUACGGCUUUUUGUUAGCUUAUGUAAGGAACUUUAUUUUUAAAGUUUUCUCAAGGGUCCUUGAAAGUAUUUUCGUUGCAAAUUGCAUUUAAAUAAACUGAAAAGGGUAUAUUAUUAAUUAAGUUUAGGUGUGGAAAUUGAUGCACGUAAUGUAUAACAUAUUUCAUUAAUUAAUUAAUUAUUUAAUAAAAUAUUGGGGUAAAGAAAUCCUCGUAGAGAUUGUAAUAUCGUUAUAACAUUGCUGCGUUUAUAAACCAGGAAUACUUAAAAAAAAGUAUAUAUAAAAGUUGUAAUCUCAUAAGCCUAGCUGUGUAAAGUACAGUAUACAUAAUACAAAGUAAGAACAUUUCCUUUACAAACUUUGAAGUAACAUUCAGAAAUCUUGAAUAGGAAACAAAGUUUACCUCAAUUGAAAGGAAUAAUUAUGGCACUGUACAAUAAAAUCCUCCGGUGUGCACGCGAAAUGUAGUGGGCAUGUAAGGGUACGAGAAUUAUCGCCAGACGAUGGACAGAACCACGCUGCACAACUCGCGAAAUGGGUAGUCAUGUUGAAAUCAUUUUUUACUUCUUUUGAGCAAGAGUGGUGGCCAAACGAAAUUAAUUAAUUAAAUUUAUAAAAUGUUGUGUAUCUAGUAUUGUUAGAAAACUCAAUUCUAAAUAUUAUACAGAAAUAAAAUGGGCUAUAUCAGUCAAACAUUGUCCAAAAGCUAGCUAUUUUUUUUUAAAAUAAAAUCAAAAGCUAACUAUUAAGUUAAAUAAAAUAUAAUCUAAGUAAAUAGUAAUUCAUUGAAGAGGAAUGCCUCUUUAAAAAUAUAAAAUUAACAACAAACCAAACAUUUAAAAUGUGAAAGUGUUGGUGGAACAAAUGCAGUAGCAUUUAGUAUGUUUCGGUAGUUCAGAAAUCAAGAGUGUUUUUUUUUUUAAAUUUAUUUUUAAUUACUUUUAAAUAAAGGUAAUAUAGAAUGUUAAGGUUUGCUAAAGAUUUUAAAAUGAAUUUUCUAAAUGUUGCUAAGCAAUAUGCAAUAAAAGUAGGGUAACUGCCACAAAACCAUUAUUACUGCUUUAAAUAAUAUGAUUAGUAGACAUUUUGUAAAAAAAAAUUGAAUUUAGGCCCUAAUUAUUAUUAAUCUUAACCAAUCAUAAAUUUAUUUCUCACUCUAAAAUUUAAUAUUAUAUUAAAGGUACAUCAUCAUAUUUUUAGUAUUAUGUAAGGUGAAUAUGAUAAAAAAAAAGAUAAUUUUUUUUGCAAAUAAUAUGGUUGUAUAUUUUUCCAAAAAAAUUUAAAAUGUCCAACUUUUAUACUCAUUAAUUAAACUAUAUUUAUUUUACCCUGUAAUCAUUCUCUCACAGUGUAAUAGACAGCAUGCGGGCAUAUCACAGCAAGCUAUGAAAUAUCAGAUCCCACAUGCGGUGAGAAAUUUGUAAUUAAAACUUAAGCAUAAUUAUUUUUUUUUUUAAACUAUACAAUGCCUAUACAUUUAAAGUGAAAGAGACAUUUACCUAGAGAUCACAGAAUUGUUCCUGUACAUUCGUUGUGUGAAGGAACUUUACCUCAGUUGUGCCAUAACCCCCGUGACCCAGAAUCCUGGCUGCGUGCGUGGGCCUAAGCGAGUGGUUGUAUUGGAGUAGCUGAUGGAUCUCUGCCUCAGUCAAGCUAGCUUACCAAAGUGUCGAGUUAGAGCUCCUUCGAGCGCCUGGGAGCGCCUUAGGGCUUAGGUGCAGCGCCGCUGUGACGCCCGCCGUGACCUGAACUGUGACCUGCUGAGCUGCGUGCUCCCUCCCCCCCUUCCCCCCAACUCUCACUGAUUCAUCCGAGGCUCCAUAGCAAAGCUCGGUUCACAACUGAAAAAAAGAAUAUAACAGUAGCAGUAAAUUGUGUGCUCAAGAUUCAACUGCCAUGUUUUACAACCUACUGAUUCAAACUAGCACUUAGGAUGGUCUUGUGCAUACGAGGAAAAUGAAUAUUGUUUUAUUCCUGUUAACGGAUGCAUGGCGCGACGGGCUAUGCGACCAGAGUAGGAUGCAAUUAUGGCGGGACUAGAGAUAAUACUGUGGCAAUGCUCUGGUGUAGAUAAUGCCUGAUUUAAAAAAUUAAUUAUUGCUAUUACAUACUUAUAAAAAGUCCCUAGAAACUAAUGUAAAUAAAAAUGUAUAAAAAGGUCAGUAGAAAAUAAUGUAAAUAAAAAUGUAUUAAAAAAAACACUAGAAACUAAUGUAAAUAAAAAUCUUCCCUGAGUAUAAUGGUACAUUAAAUAUUUUACAUAACCAAAAUUAAUUUAUAUGUUUGCACAAACUUGUUGGUCAGAUGUCGUGGGAUAAUCAUUUCAUAGUUAAUGCAUUUAUUUACUAACACUACCAACAGAUGGAUACAUCACACGAAAUUUCAUUGGCUGAAAUUAACAGGAAUAUUUCGAUUGUGGACUGAUUUCGCACAGGUCGUGUGUUUGACCUGCUAUGCAAUCGCUUAUGUUUUUUUUUUUUUUAAUUGUGAUCCCAGCUUCGAUCGCGCUGUCCAGACACAUGCGUUGUCACCAGGUCUGAACUCUGAGUGAGAAGCCCAUCACAGCUGGUAGUAAGACUCGCAGCGCUAGUUCCUUCUGUUCCGUUUUGUCCUCGGCUGCUGGUGCGUCACUGGCAGAUCUCACAGUGGCGCUGCUUUAGUUUGGAUUCAUUUCAGUGUGAUAUUGCAGGACUGUGAUUGGCUCGCCAACACUGUGUGUACAGGACCGCAGUCCUCUCUCCCGACCAAUCAGCUGAGCCAAGCGUGACUUGUACAAGCGAUGUAUGGGAGAGUUGACUUCAUUGCAGUUUUGUGCUCCGCAGAUAAGAAUAAGACCAGAAACCUCUUCUUACUUUUGGUGUGUCAGAAUAAUAACUGCUGGAGUUGCAAUCGUAACUGUGUUAAAUUCUAAUUUAUUGUAUUUUAUAGUAAUUAUGUAUGCAAUCCUCGUGUCAGAGAGUGAAUUUACUAAAACAAAUGUAAUAUUUAUUACCAUUUUAUAUUGAUAAUGGGAGUUAGGGGGUGAUCUCCUGGAGGUGUGUUACGCUUACGGUGCAUGUAACCACCAGACGCAUCAUGCAAUACAUGCAGCACAAGUGUUGAAAACUCUCAGGAAGGUCAUGUGAAUGUGUUUGUUGUCUAGUCCUUCCAGCAAUUUAAUGGGGCAAUUAAUAAUUUAUUAUGGUUUAUGUGAUGCAAAGCUAUAUUAAUUUAAUUUCCAUUAUAUGUAAUCCAUGGUAGUAAGUAAGGGAAAAUAUUUUUUAGAUAGUUCAUAAAUUAUUUGUUAGAAACUGCCUAAUGCAAUAUUAUAAUUUAAUAUUUAAUAGCAUAUAUUUUUGUAUAGCAUGGAAUAAAGUAUUCUUAUGAUAUGUGAAGUGUAUUUAAAAUAAAUUUCCUGUAAUAAAGUGUGUUUAAUUUU